rnacentral:rRNA from 1 species
UACGAAGGGGGCUAGCGUUGCUCGGAAUCACUGGGCGUAAAGCGCACGUAGGCGGUUUCUUACGUCAGGGGUGAAAUCCUGGAGCUCAACUCCAGAACUGCCUUUGAUACUGGGAGACUUGGAGUCCGGGAGAGGUGAGUGGAACUGCGAGUGUAGAGGUGAAAUUCGUAGAUAUUCGCAAGAACACCAGUGGCGAAGGCGGCUCACUGGCCCGGUACUGACGCUGAGGUGCGAAAGCGUUGGGAGCAAACAGG